rnacentral:rRNA from 1 species
ACGGAGGGUGCAAGCGUUAUUCGGAAUUACUGGGCGUAAAGCGCGUGUAGGCGGUCCUGCAAGUCUGAUGUGAAAGCCCCGGGCUUAACCCGGGAAGAGCAUUGGAAACUGCGUGACUUGAGUACUGGUUAGGAUGGGGGAAUUCCCGGUAUAGAGGUAAAAUUCGUAGAGGUCGGGAGGAAUAUCAGUGGCGAAGGCGCCCAUCUGGACGGUAACUGACGCUGAAACGCUAAACCGUGAGUAGCAAACAG